AAUGGGAUUCCUUUUUGUAUUCAGGAGCUGGUUUGACUUGCCUCCUCUGUAGCCACAAGGCAGAUGACGGCUGCUGUGCAGAAAGGGGUCCCCAUUUUCUGGGUGAGGAGCUUCUGUAAGAUCGAGCUGAAGACUAACUUUGUUAGAUUUGAUGUUUCUAGGGAACAAGGACUGUCGCCAGAAUGUUUUCUGCCACUCACUCAGUUCUGGUCAUCUUCUUAAUACUUGGAGGGACCAAUGGUGACUCAGUGAACCAGACAGAAGGCCCAGUGACUGUCUUAGAGGGGGCUUUCAUGACCCUGAACUGCACUUACCAGGCCACGUAUUCAAAUUUCUAUCUUUUUUGGUACAUCCAGCAUCUCAACAAAGCUCCUCAACUCCUCCUGAAGGGCCUAACAGCAGACAAGAAGGUAGAGCAUGAAGGUUUUCAGGCCACUCUUGUUAAGAUGGACAGCUCCUUCCACCUGCAGAAACAGGCAGUGCAAGCAUCAGACUCGGCUGUGUACUACUGUGCUCUGAGUGACACAGUGAUGGAGGGCUUGAAAGCCUUUGAACCGGAGCUGCUGCAGCCGUGGGAUGAAAAAGCUUGCAGCGGGUGGAGGUUGCUCGUCAUUGCGGUGCACGGGCUUCUCACCGUGGCGGCUCCUCUUGGUGCGGAGCACGGGCUCCCGCUGCACCGGCUUCAGUAG